rnacentral:rRNA from 1 species
GAUGAACGCUGACGGCGUGCCUAAUACAUGCAAGUCGAGCGAACGGACGAGAAGCUUGCUUCUCUGAUGUUAGCGGCGGACAGGUGAGUAACACGUGGAUAACCUACCUAUAAGACUGGGAUAACUUCGGGAAACCGGAGCUAAUACCGGAUAAUAUUUUGAACCGCAUGGUUCAAAAGUGAAAGACGGUCUUGCUGUCACUUAUAGAUGGAUCCGCGCUGCAUUAGCUAGUUGGUAAGGUAACGGCUUACCAAGGCAACGAUGCAUAGCCGACCUGAGAGGGUGAUCGGCCACACUGGAACUGAGACACGGUCCAGACUCCUACGGGAGGCAGCAGUAGGGAAUAUUCGGCAAUGGGCGAAAGCCUGACGGAGCAACGCCGCGUGAGUGAUGAAGGUCUUCGGAUCGUAAAACUCUGUUAUUAGGGAAGAACAUAUGUGUAAGUAACUGUGCACAUCUUGACGGUACCUAAUCAGAAAGCCACGGCUAACUACGUG